rnacentral:tRNA from 1 species
AAGAAGUUAAGAUAAAAAAAUAGCUGCUAACUAAUUUUUUAAGUGGUUUAAAUCCAUUUACUUCUUA